UCCCCAGUCACCACAGCUUCUUCUUUUUAUUUUUUUCCUCUUUCUUUCUGACUCUUCACACCGGUGCUUCAACCUUCUCUCUUCUCUGCCAUUAUUACUCUAACAACCUCCUUUACUCUCCUCACCUACCUCUCUUUAACUAAAAUAAAUUUGCUUCAUUUGAUAUUACCGUUGGCACACUUCUCUCUUUCUCAUUUCAUUUCGUUAUUUCUUCUCCUCCAUUUCCACUUCACUCUUCCCCACAUCCUUCUCUCACAUUUGCUCUUUUUCAUUUCAAAGUUCUGAACCGAAGCUCUUGGUCAGCCGAAGAGGUACUUGCCAUGGUCGAAGUCGCUGACCGACGAGACCCAACCUCUUCACCGGCAAGGCCUGCUCUGUCACCGACGGGCUAUCACUCCACUUUGUUCAUUUUAUUAAUCUUCUCCCAGGUGCAAACUAUCUCUCUCUCCCUCUCCAUUAUUUUAUUUUUUGUAUUCUAUGUUCGCUGUUAAAAUUAGUUUUACCCCAUGGACUGAUGUUGAUGAGCACAGGAGAUUUUCUUUCGUAGAUUCUUUUCGAAAACAUUAUUUUACAAGUUUUAUGUGUUGAGUACUGAGAAACGUUUGAUAAUGUAAAGAUUGCAUUUUUCUGCUUAUUCACAUACUUUGGGUGUUUGGAGAUGGAGAUGUGAGGCUGGGGGUUUGAAUAUAUGUUAGUUUGUGUGCUCCAUCCAAUUUUUUUUAAAAAUUUGUAUGUUUGUAGUACGUGUGGAAUAAUUUAUUUAAGAGAAACUGAAAUUUUUUUUUGCUGAAUAGAUAAAGUUAAAAGAUAACUGAAAUAAUUCAGGGAUCUAUAAAUAAUAUAAAAAAUGUAAUGGGAUCUAUAAAUAGUAGAAAAAAUAAGUUAAAUAGUAAAAGAAAAAGUUGGCCUUUUAAGCCAAUGCCAUAUGCACAUGUAGUUGUAUGCUCCAUCAAUUUUUUUGAAAAAAAAAUUUGUGAGCUUUGUUUGGUAGAAAUUAUGGAAUGGAAGGAUUUCGAAACAUUACUUUUUUUGGCGAUUUAGAGUGCUUCAAUGGGGUACUUAAAGGAGCAUGCUAGCUUGUCCAUAACCGCAAUAGUGAAGUUCACAUUUUAUAAUAUGAACUCGUACUUUGAUGAUCGUCGUAACAAAACUCUAGAGCAGAUGGAAGAGGGGCAAGAAUGGUGCAAAUAUGCCUAUGACCAGUUUGAGACAAAUCAAGAGAAGACAAAGCUCCAUAUCGUUAGAAGGAUGAGCGUGCAAGAGUGCUUAUAUAUAGUGGAAACACAGUCUAAUCUUUUGGCUACUAGCGGGGGAGAUCACACCUAUGGGGUUGAUCUCAUGGAAAUGACAUGCACAUGCAAGAAAUGGGAAGCAUACAAGAUCCCCUGUUCACGCUUAAUAGCAGUUUGUGCUAAGUAUAAACACGAUGCAAUGGAGUAUAUGGAUCCUUUAUAUCGCGUGUCUGAACGGUACCACAGCUAUGUGCCAAUAUUCCAACCAUUGAAAGAUAGGUUAGAAUGACCGGAUAUGGAAGAAAGGAGAACAGCGAUGCCAAACCUACGGUUGAUCAGAGAGAAAGGUUGGCCUAAAUCCAUGAAAAUCCGCAAUGAGAUGGAUGAACAAGAUAGGAAGUUGCCAACCUCUUUGUGGAUUGAGAACGGACCGAAGUCAAGGUGUGGGUUGUGUCACCAAGGUGGGCAUAACUGUCGUAUAUGUCCGACUCGAAAUGUGAAAUUAACAAGCCGUGGUGCUAUAUAGCAGGAAUUAUGGAAUGGAAGGAUUUCGAAAGAUUACUUUUUUUGGCGAUGGCACCCGUUCAAUCAGUUGCCAUCCUCUCAGCUGGAGCUUUCUCUCUUGCUACUGAUGGGUCGGAGGAAAUCGUUUCUCGUUUGAUUCAUAUGGCCAAACUUCAGGACCCGACCAUUAUUCUGGUUUUGACUUAAUUAAUGGGGUUUUUGAGUUGAAGAGAGAUAUCAUUAUAAGCUCCACUUUGACGAGAUACUCUUAAUGGAAGAGAAAAAGAAGAGAGGUGAAAGCAACUGGAGAUGGAGACGAGAAGAAGGGAGAGUCCUACAAACCAAAAUAACCUAAACUUUGAUUGAUUAAAAGCAAAAAAGUUGGAAGAAAAACAAAAAGGCCACUUAUUUAUUCUUAAAGAAACCCCUAAAGGAUUUCAAAAUACCCCAUAUCAAGUGAUGAUCAUAGGCUUGACUUAAUAAAUUCUUACAAUAUUUUCACAAUUAUUGACAAUAUUCACUGUUCAUUGACAAAUUCUU